UCCACAUCUUAUAGACAGACAGGUGUCAUACUGUCUUCUCAGACACUUUUUAUCCUUGAUGCAAAGCAAAUCUCACUCAACCCUUUGCAGACCUCUGAACUGUCAAAGGUCUAGAAUAAAGAGACACCCCGGUAAUUGCAUCACGUGAGUGGGGAGGAGGUUGGAGGGAGUCAUCACUCAAGAAUGCAUGCCCGCAUGUCAGCUCCUAUACGGGAUCUGGCACUGGACAUGUUAGAUCAUGCACGGAGGAGAUGCACAGGGUACACUGCUGCUGGCAGAUGCAUGCUGCUAAGCCGGGUUGCUUUGAAGAUGGGAAAGAGUGAAGAACGAAGAUGAUGCAACUUAUUUAAAGAAGGCUUGGGAGAGUGAGACAAAGAAUUCAGAUCUGAUAUCCAAACCACUGCCUUAAAUUUUCUGUCAAUAACCUUUCAACUUCAUGCUAUGCAAUAAACAUUCAAGCUGGGCAUAAAUACAAAGAAAAGCUGCAGCUGUUUUUAAAAAUGGGUACCUAAGCUCAUGUAUUCAUAGGUAGACAUGAAUAAAUAGCUAAAUGUUCAGGACAUCUUUAGGCAUGUGAUUUCACUAUAUCUGUGUAUUUUUUGAUUUUUUAUUUCUCAUUUUCUAAUAAGCACUUCUAUGUGGGUAUACUGUAUGAAAGUAUUACUGAAAAGAAAAAGGUACUCUACAGAGUACCUGUGCAUGUAGCAGCAUUUAGGCAGCAAAAAUUACUCAUCAUGGGAACACUGAGGUUAGGAAAGCAGGUCAACAAUAAGUUGUUUCACCUAUGGCAAGGAACGAGUUGUCUCUUUUUGGCCUAGAGAACAUCACACAGUAAUGAUACAGUUUCUGGGCAAAAGAAAACAACAGGGAAAAUAAGCAUAAUUUUUUCUUCAGAUACUUGUCUUUCUAGAGUACUUUAGUCCAGAUUUUUUUUUUUUUUAAAUUUUUGCUCAUCUCUAUUUUUUCUUUUAGGUCUCACUAUUUAGCUUUCAGGAUAAUAUUACCUGAAGAGUUACUAUUCAGCUCAUUCUUACUAAUCAAGCCUUUCUAGUGCUUUUGAUUUAAAAUCCUGAAAUAUCUCUUCUAACGGUAUGUUUAAAGCUCAUAGUCAUAACAUAGGAAUAUCUCCAGACAAUAAAGGAGACAAGAUAUAUAUGCCUGACUUUAAUCCUAUUGCCAUGCAGCAGUUUUCUUUCCAUGGCAGUCUGAAAUGGAGUUUCCUUUAAAAGCCCAGAAAAAUAUAUGUACAUUUUUGAAGGUGAACUCCAGGACAGCACAUUCAGUGCAGCUGGGCACCGAUGAAGUAUAAUUGGUAAAUGUAAUUCCAGCCUCGCCGUUCAUAAUGUCUAAAGGAACAAGCAGAAAUUUGCCAUCCUGUUAGUUAACUGUGGUAGCUAAUUGUAGUUCUAGACUAUGUAUAUAGCAAAUCCUCA
rnacentral:lncRNA from 1 species